GAUGAACGCUGGCGGCGUGCCUAAUACAUGCAAGUCGAGCGAACAGACGAUGAUCUUGCUCCUCUGACGUUAGCGGCGGACGGGUGAGUAACACGUGUAUAACCUACCUAUAAGACUGGUAUAACUUCGGGAAACCGGAGCUAAUACCGUAUAAGAUAUUGAUCCGCAGGGGUCAAUAGUGAAAUACGGUUUUUCUGUCACGUAUAGAUGGAUCUGCGCCUCAUUAGCUGGUUGUGAAGUUAACGGCUUAGCAAGGGAACGAGGGGUAGACGAGCUGAGAGGGGGGUCGGCCACCUGAGAACGGGAACACCGACAAGAGUCCUAAGGGAGGCAGCAGUAGGGAAUCUUACGCAAUGGGCGAAAGCAUGACGGAGUAACGCCGAGUGAGUGAUGACGGUCUCCGGUUCGUAAAACUCUGUUAUUAGGGAAAAACAAAUGUGUAAGUAGAUAAGCACUUAUUGACGGUAACUAGUAAGAAAGCCACGGCUAACUACGUG
rnacentral:rRNA from 1 species